UGAAGCCUCGUCUCCACACCAGGGAGCCGGCAGAAGGAAGACCCUCACGGAGCCCUCCAGAGCGCGUAACAGGAGAGCCCGCAUUCGGAUGCCUGCCCAAACACUGGGAACAAAGGGCCCGUCGGUGUCAAGUGGAGGCGCUGUCGUGACCAGCGGAGAGGGUUACGAGCUUACAAGCGACAGUCUCGUAAAACGCGACCGGCCUCUCCGUCCUCCGCCCCCCACGCCGCAGCAGUGCAUGCUGGGAAGCGGGAGGCGUUGCUAGAACGGGAAGAAGCCGGACCCCCCCUCCGAAGCGCUGCCGUCAGGCCCGAGCGCACGUUCCGGUCCCUCGGGGAAACUUAAAAAAAAAAAAAUGCUUGUGAACUGAGAUUCCCAGUAAACCAGUGAUAUCGCUCUGACCUUGCCCCAGAGAUGAGCAAACAGAAGCCUGGAGAAUUUACGUGAUUUGUGCAAGUUCAACACAGCUGAAACCAGCCUUGCAGAAGACUGUCCAGUGGGGCACGGGGGGGACCUUAGAGUCCCAUAGCUCUAAGGUGAUUCUUAGAAACCUCCACUCUGAAGACCUCUUGUCCUUCAAUCAAGCAUCCAGCACAUCCUCACAACUCCCUUGGAUCACCCUGAGGCCACUCUUCUCACCGUUGACACCACUACCAUUAUUCCUGACACAUGAGGCAGGGUGAUCCAAGACCAGAAGGUCAUCAUGAUCAAGAGGAGCAAUUUGUUAACAUCUGAAGUGCCCUGCUCAGGAAUACACAUUCCAGAGUGUUUGUAAGCUUUGAUAGAUGCUAACUGGAUGUCACGCUCCAGAGGUACCUUCUACAAGAGCUUCGGCCAUCUUUUUUCCUUUCCAGCUUUAUUGAGAUAUUACUGACUUAUAAUAUACUGCUAGCCAUCCUUCCCCACCACUCCAGCGGGGGAGGUAUCCAAGGCAGCUCAGUUCAGCCGAGCGGCAGGAAGGACAGAAUCCCAUGGAAAGGAGCCGAAGUUCUAUCAGGAAGACAACACCAGUUCUGACAAAUCUGGAAGGUGAUGCAAGGACAAAGAUAACACCACUUGGUGACUGGGAGCUGAGAGCAGGAUGGAAAGGGGUGUGGGGCACAGGUUAGCAUGAGCAAGUCAGGACUGAGGCUGUGACCAGCAGGUGAUUGCCAGAGCACACCUUUGUCAUGGUGCCAGAACAGACCAUGCCUCUUAAAGGAGCCACAUGCGCUGGACACCAGUCAACUCUCCAUGGUCACGCUUGUUACCUAUUGCUUCACCACUCACCUCCCCUGAGUACAAUGUGUCUCCUGUGUCUCCCAUUCAGCUAAUGGCAUCACCAUCCACUUAAGAAUCAUCUUGGGCAUCUCCAAUAUCAUCUUCCCAAUUUUAAUCAAUCAUCAAAUCUAAAAACUUCUAUCAACGAAGUAUCUCUUGACCCCAUCCCCAGUCGCCUUGGUUCUGGCUCUCAACAUCUCUCCGUGGGACCGUCGCUGCCCACACUGCAAGAGGUUCCUCGCCGGCUUCCUGCUCACAGCAUCCCCUUCCUCUCUACCAUGGCGCAGCUGCCUCUCUGCCCUACACAUUAAAUCCCUUAGGAGGCUCCCCAUUGUCCUUAGCAGACCAAAUUCCAGAGCACGGCGUAUUAGAGCAGUUUUAUUACAAGUGAUAGAAACUUUAGUAGGACUAUUGGGGAUGAAAGGGGGAAAUUUAUUGAUUUACAUAGCUGAAUUGUGGGAAAUACACCUGUUGUGUCCCAGAUAUUUGAAUCAGGGGCUUGAAUACCAUUGGAAUUUUUUCUCUUUCUCUGUGUAUUGUCAACAUUGUCUUUGCCUUUUUCCACAAGCCUGGACCAUGACCCCUGGCCCCUUGGAGCCCAUAUCUACCUAGUUGCUGGUACCACUAAAGUGGACACACCACUUCUCCUAAUGGAAAUACAGAGAAGAAAAGAGAAGGUUGCAGGGGUCGUGAAGCAAGCACAGGUUUCUUUCUGCUUCUCAGAAGGGCUGGCCAGCGCCUCGGCCAUGCUCCUCAGGAAUGGCUGGGAAAACGAGCCUACUUGGUGGGCCAGCCAGGUUCCUGCUACCUGAAGGACUGUGCAGACUCCCAGUGGCUGGAAAAGGAGUCUGAGGGAAAAGUCCUACAAAGGCACCCGUAGCAUAGUGGUUAAGGCAGGGCUCUGGGGGCUUCCCUGGUGGCUCAGUGGUUAAGAAUCCGCCUGCCAAUGCAGGAGACACGGGUUCGAGCCCUGGUCCGGGAAGAUCCCACAUGCCGCGGAGCAACUAAGCCCGUGUGCCACAACUACUGAGCCUGCGAGCCACAACUAUUGAGCCUGCAUGCCACAACUACUGAAGCCCGUGCGCCUAGCGCCCGUGGUCCACAACAAGAGAAGCUACCGCAACAAAGAGUAGCCCCCGCUCGCCGCAAUUAGAGAAAGCCCGCACGCAGCAACAAAGACCCAAUGCAGCCCCCCAAAAAACAAUCAAGUCAAGGCUCUGGAGCCAGAAUGCCCGCGUUCAGCUUUCUGCUCGGGGUCACGGUGGUGUGUGACUUCAGGCCAGCGACUCAAACUUUCUGAGCUUCAGUUUCCUCACAUGUAACAGGGACAAUAAUUGUGUCUGUCUCAUAGGGCUGUUAUGAUGAUUAAAUGAGUCAUUCCACGGGAAGCAUUAACAGCAGUACCUGGCACUUAAGGUCUGCUCAACAAGUGUUAGCUACUAUCUAGGACUUUGCCGUCCAGUAUGGUAAACACUAACCACAUAUGGCUAUUGAGUGCUAGAAAUGUGGCUAGUCUGGCUUGAUAGGUGCUGUAGGUACAAAGUACACACAGAUUUCAAAGACUUUGUAGGAGAAAAAGAAUAUAAAAUAUCUCAUUGAUAGUUGUUCUGUUGAUUAAUUGAAGUUGAUAUUUCAAUUGUAUGUUGAAAUAAUAGCAUUUUGGAAUAU